rnacentral:miRNA from 1 species
AACUAUGUCCUGACUUUUCUGA